AUGGCUGCUCCACAGCCAGAUCCGAGCACCCGAGAGGUCCUCCGGUUUCUCUGCCGAUACGUGAAGUUCGAGUCUAGCUGCGUCGCCGAUACCUUCUGCACGGGCUGCGGCGCCGCUGCGUGCUCGCACUGUUGCGCCAGGCAGCACGUACGCGCGCACCACCCGAACCAGCUCGUGUACUACGCCGAGGGCUUUGAUUUGCCCUGGUUUCUUGGUCGCUGGUUUGCGGAGGUCAAAGUGCGCUGCUUGGAGAAUGGGUUUGGGCCGGCAGUCGAGGUGGCGGAUAUGAAGUGCGGAUAUUGCUGGGAUGGGAUACGGAAGGUGCGGUAUGGUUCAUACAAGAUCUUUGUUCCGCUAUAUGGCCGUGACGGGGAUUACCACGAGCCAGACUUGAGGACUUGCCCGUGUGGUGAUCCUCUUCCGGAGCGCGCUGGGGAUUACUGCUCUUUGUUUUGCCGCUUCCACGCGGUUGAGGGAGGGAAUCCUUUGGGAAGGCACAGAGUUGAGGCUCUGCUGAAUGCUGAUUUCGAGGAAGGGCGCGAGCCGGAUCGGUUCUGUACCAAGUGCCUCGCCUACCACAGCACGUUCUUCUGCCCAGAUCACGUCCAAGCGCACCACCCGGGGCGCGGUCGCCUCAUAGAGGUCCUGAGGAGCGGCGGCCGAGUCCUUGUGGCCGCAAUCGAGUUCCCGCAGAUGGUUACUGAACACAUGGAGACAUUCGAGGUUGAGGGGCUCUUCGUCCAGAUCAUCCCAGCCCGGCACGAAAUGGGGCUCGGGCCAGGGCUCGUGGGUCCCGGGAACUGCAACCGGUGCGGCGUAAACGAGCAAUUCUGCUCGCUUCUGUGCAAAGGCGUUCCCUAUGCAGUGGCUCGGGCGAGGCUUCACAUUGAAUUGGCUCACGGACGAGGACGAGGAGGACUGACGUGGCGGUGGGGUGGGGACUGCGGGGAGAGGAGGAAGAUCGCAAAAUCCCCCCGAUGCUCCGCCGCGGCGGACGGGGACGGGAUCCAUCCCGCCGCCGGUGCCGGAGGCUCAACACAAGUUCACCUCGCCGCCGCCAAGCUUCCCCCUCCCUUUCUCUCGGCCCUCAAUUGCCAGAUCUGCUCGCAGCUAGCGGGCGGCUGCACAGCAAUCUCUUCUACGCCGGCGGCCAUGGUCCCGGGCCGGGGGGCUUCGUGCCUGGAGAAGGCGAGCGGAGUAGUAGCGUCCUCCUAUCCAUCUGGGCGGUGCCUGGUUCCAGGUGUUCGAUCAAUUGACCAAACCGAGCAAGUCUGCAGCUCUUGCCCGGGCAUGGACGGUGCCGGCCUACUUUUCUUCCUAUACUACACGCAGAUUAGCAAGGUGGCAUUGACGGCCCUCUGCUACCAUGCCUCUACACUAAUGCUGUCAACGGCUUCGAUGAUGGAGUCGUCCGCCUCGAUGCUUUCCUUUGGCGUAGCAUGCGACGAGCUGGUCAUGAUAUCCUCUGUCGGCAAAAGGCACAUUAUUUUUAUUCAGUUCUAUCUAUCAGGUGGGAGCGCAAGCGAAUCUGAUCCGGACACUGCAAGUCAAGCUGCAGAUGCUGAAUCUGAUGAAGACCAAGUGGCAUACUUUGGUACAAGAGAAUUUUUUUGUCGGCAGAAUCUCUACAAAUUGCUUCUCACAAAUGGCUGCGAUGCAUUAGAAUCUAUUGGAGACUCCAGAUCGUAUACUGCCAAACCUACCAAGUAUCCCAUUGUUAAACGUCGAGAUAAGUUGCCUGAGCCAAAGGAGAAAGAGAAGCCAAUAGGAUUAUUAUGGACGUGGUCCCCAGCUUGGGCGACUGCUUUAUCUAUGAACAUUUGCGUGUUAGUUCUGAAUCAUCUAUUUGACAUUCAGAUUGAUAAGUGUUUUCUCAUGGACAAUUCACAAUUGUUAGUAGUAUGGGAGUUCCUGCCAAGACAGGCUUUUGAAAUAAAGAAGGGAGAGGUACCAGGUGUUGUGUUGGUGAUACAGCUCGCCCUGUGUAUGAUGUUUCAUCUCAAAAUCAAGAUGUUUCGAUCCCAGAAGAGAAGGCAAGGACAUGGCGGCGAUGGCGUGGUGAGCAACCUUACCCUGGAGCAUGAAGUUGAUUAUUAUGUAGUUAUGGCUCCCGCUUGCCUGCCUCCCCCAGCUUCCCCCCUCCCGAAAAAAGAAGUCCCUGAUUUCCCCAGCGAUGCCAUGAGGGGCGGGAUUGCUUCAGAUGUUUGGUCGUGCUGUGUCUUCUCAUCUCACGAAUCAGUUGCUGACUGCCUCUGUGAGCAUGGGGAGCAGAGGGGCGGCGGCGCGGAUGGACCCGGAGGCGGCCACGGAGCUGGGAAGGGGGUCACGCUGCUGCUACUUGAGGUGCCCCAGAACACCGUCCUCGGUGUCGACACCCAGAUUUGGAGUAUAUGCUGCCUUUCUAUGCUCUCCAAAUGGGUGUGA
rnacentral:rRNA from 1 species